UACGUAGGGUGCGAGCGUUGUCCGGAAUUACUGGGCGUAAAGAGCUCGUAGGCGGUUUGUCGCGUCGUCCGUGAAAACUUGGGGCUCAACCCCAAGCUUGCGGGCGAUACGGGCAGACUUGAGUACUGCAGGGGAGACUGGAAUUCCUGGUGUAGCGGUGAAAUGCGCAGAUAUCAGGAGGAACACCGGUGGCGAAGGCGGGUCUCUGGGCAGUAACUGACGCUGAGGAGCGAAAGCGUGGGGAGCGA
rnacentral:rRNA from 1 species